rnacentral:rRNA from 1 species
GAGUUUGAUUAUGGCUCAGGACGAACGCUGACGGCGCGCUUAACACAUGCAAGUCGUGCGAUACCUCGAGCAAGUCUUACGACAAGCUCAAGGUGUAGCGGCGGACGGGUGAGUAACACGUGAGUAGCUGUCCUAAGGAGGGGGAUAACGCCUGGAAACGGGUGCUAAAACCCCAUAUGCCUCGCAAGAGGUGAAAGUGUAGCUUGCUACAGCCUUAGGGUGUGCUCGCGGCCUAUCAGCUAGUUGGUGAGGUAACGGCUCACCAAGGCUAAGACGGGUAGCCGGCCUGAGAGGGUGUACGGCCACACUGGAAUUGAGAUACGGUCCAGACUCCUACGGGAGGCAGCAGUGGGGAAUCUUGGGCAAUGGGCGAAAGCCUGACCCAGCGACGCCGCGUUGGGGAUGAAGCCCUUCGGGGUGUAAACCCAUGUUGUAGGGGACGAAGAAAGUGACGGUACCCUACGAGGAAGCCCCGGCUAACUACGUGCCAGCAGCCGCGGUAAGACGUAGGGGGCGAGCGUUGUCCGGAUUUACUGGGCG